CCUCGGACAACUGUGUCUUCUCAGUGGAGUUGCAGCUGCCUCCCAAGGCUGCAGCCCUGGCUCACUUGGACAGGGGGAGCCCCCCACCUGCCCGGGAGGCACUGGCCAUCGUCUUCUUUGGCAGGCAACCCCAGCCCAACGUGAGUGAGCUGGUGGUGGGGCCACUGCCUCACCCCUCCUACAUGCGGGACGUGACUGUGGAGCGUCAUGGAGGCCCCCUGCCCUAUCACCGACGCCCCAUGUUGUUCCAAGAGUACCUGGACAUAGACCAGAUGAUCUUCGACAGAGAGCUGCCCCAGGCUUCUGGGCUUCUCCAUCACUGUUGCUUCUACAAGCGCCGGGGACGGAACCUGGUGACAAUGACCACGGCUCCCCGUGGUCUGCAAUCAGGGGACCGGGCCACCUAGUUUGGCCUCUACUACAACAUCUCGGGCGCUGGGUUCUUCCUGCACCACGUGGGCUUGGAGCUGCUAGUGAACCACAAGGCCCUUGACCCUGCCCGCUGGACUAUCCAGAAGGUGUUCUAUCAAGGCCGCUACUAUGACAGCCUGGCCCAGCUGGAGGCCCAGUUUGAGGCCGGCCUGGUGAAUGUGGUGCUGAUCCCAGACAAUGGCACAGAACCAGGGCCUCCCCCUGCGGCGACACCACUCAGAUCUCUACUCCCACUACUUUGGGGGCCUUGCGGAAACGGUGCUGGUCAUCAGAUCUGUGUCUACUAUGCUCAACUAUGACUAUGUGUGGGAUAUGGUCUUCCACCCUAAUGGGGCCAUAGAAAUCAGACUCCACACCACCGGCUACAUCAGCUCAGCAUUCCCCUUUGGUGCUGCCCAGAGGUAUGGAAACAAAGUUUCAGAGCACACCCUGGGCACGGUCCACACCCACAGCGCCCACUUCAAGGUGGACCUGGAUGUAGCAGGUAAGGCAUCCUGGCAGAGGCAAAAGUGCUGGAGGGGUGAGCUGAAGUCUCCAUGCCUAGCUUUAAAAGUUUUCGUUGGGCUGGGAGCAGUAGCUUAUGCCUGUAAGCCCAACACUUUGGGAGACUGAGGGGGGUGGAUCACUUGAGGUCAGGAGUUCAAAACCAGCCUGGCCAACAUGGCGAAAUCCUGUCUGUACUAAAAAUACAAAAAUUAGCUGGGCAUGGGUAUGCUGUAAUCCUAGCUACUCGGGAGGCUGAGGCAGGAGAAUCACUUGAAUCUGGGAGUCAGAGGUUGCAGUGAGCUGAGAUUGAGCCACUGCACUCCAUCCUGCGUGACUGAACAAGACUUUGUCUCAAAAAAAAAAAGUAUUCCAUGCUUUAAAAAAUUACCUCUGUGAUUAUAGAAUUUAUUAUAUUGUAUACUAUGUAUAAAUAUGAUAUAUUGAUAUAAGUAUUUAGAUUUCUAUAUUCA
ensembl:lncRNA AOC4P amine oxidase copper containing 4, pseudogene